rfam:Drosophila simulans strain white501 chromosome 2R Cont9.233, whole genome shotgun sequence.
AUUUUCCUGAUGAUAAGUUUAAUCUGAACAAAGUGCUGUUGAUUCACAACUUAAAAUUAAACCAAAAGGAUUCUGAAACCCAUUAAAU